GUCCCUUCGGGGACAUCCGAUAAAAUUGGAACGAUACAGAGAAGAUUAGCAUGGCCCCUGCGCACGGAUGACACGCACAAAAAAGACAAUUGACUUGGUGGG